rnacentral:rRNA from 1 species
UCCAGACUCCUACGGGAGGCAGCAGUGAGGAAUAUUGGUCAAUGGGCGAGAGCCUGAACCAGCCAAGUCGCGUGAGGGAGUACUGCCCUAUGGGUUGUAAACCUCUUUUGUCGGGGAGCAAAAGCCGGACGUGUCCGGCUGUGAGAGUACCCGAAGAAAAAGCAUCGGCUAACUCCGUGCCAGCAGCCGCGGUAAUACGGAGGAUGCGAGCGUUAUCCGGAUUUAUUGGGUUUAAAGGGUGCGCAGGCGGCGGUUUAAGUCGGCGGAAAAAUUCCGGGGCCAACCCCCGACAAGCCGUUGAAACUGGCUUGCUAGAGUGGGCGAGAAGUAUGCGGAAUGCGUGGUGUAGCGGUGAAAUGCAUAGAUAUCACGCAGAACUCCGAUUGCGAAGGCAGCAUACCGGCGCCCAACUGACGCUCAGGCACGAAAGCGUGGGUAUCGAACAGGAUUAGAUACCCCUGUAC